GUUCCAGGGGCUUUUGGGGCUAGAACCAGUGAAGGGCCGGUGAAAGCAAGCCAGCGCUCUCUGCCAUGUCGGGACGAGACGGUGGCAAGAAAAAGCCCUUGAAGCAACCAAAAAAGCAAUCAAAGGAAA